AGCACUAUUUUUAAACCUGUUGGUGGCACUUCCUGACCACCCCGGGUUACGCUGUAGUGCAAAAGAAUCUCCUGGCUCUUCAGAGCAUGGCUGGCUUUGCUCUGUGCAGCUGAUGCUCCUCUGAAGCUAAGGAACAGAA
rnacentral:snoRNA from 1 species